rnacentral:tRNA from 1 species
GUUCAAAUGAUGAAAUUGGUAAACAUAGUUGUCUAAGACGCAGCUGGCGAUUAUUGCCUUGAAGGUUCGAGUCCUUUUUUGAACA